rnacentral:lncRNA from 10 species
CUAUCUUCCUAAGAGUGUUCUCUGACAGGGCUGUUCCCUGCCCAGUGAAACAAAGGACCAAAGAUUUUCUCAAAAAUGUUUAAAAAUUUGACCCAUGUAACGCGGACACUCCACACUCACGGAAGUGGGCAGAAGGGGGAGGGGGAAAAAAAAGGAAAGAAAAGCUUCUUCAGCCUCAGCGCGGAGCAGCUGCUCUUCCUUACCCAGACGGGACAGUCGUGGACCACCAGCUUGACAUUCCCAAACGCACUGGCCUGAUACUCGGUGAACACCGGACGCGCGACCGUGCUGGCCGCGUUCAGCAACAAGCUGCUCUCGUCCCCGGAGACCAGAGGGCUUCUCCCCAGGUUCAGCCAUUUAGGAAAGAUUGGUGACCUAUCUGCAUGAUGGCAUUAACUACAAGGAUCAUCGAAGAGCCACAGUCACAAAGCCAGUCUCUGAAUAUGGUUCAAAGAAAUCUUAUAACUCUCUGAACAGAAGCAACCGAAUAUAUGGACCCCAUGACCCAGCUGUAUUAGUCUGUUCUCAUGCUGCUAAUAAAGACAUACCUGAGACUGCAUAAUUUAUAAAGGGAAGA